UGGGGGAUAUUGCACAAUGGAGGGAACUCUGAUGCAGCAAUGCCGCGUGAGGGAAGAAGGUUUUCGGAUUGUAAACCUCUGUCCUAGCUGAAGAAACGAAUGACGGUAGGCUAGGAGGAAGCUCCGGCUAACUACGUGCCAGCAGCCGCGGUAAUACGUAGGGAGCGAGCGUUAUCCGGAAUUACUGGGUGUAAAGGGUGCGUAGGCGGCUAUGCAAGUCAGGCGUGAAAUGUACGGGCUUAACUCGUGAACUGCGUUUGAAACUGUAUAGCUUGAGUAGAGUAGAGGCAGGCGGAAUUUCCA
rnacentral:rRNA from 1 species